rnacentral:rRNA from 1 species
GACGAACGCUGGCGGCGUGCUUAACACAUGCAAGUCGAACGGAAAGGCCCUGCUUUUGUGGGGUGCUCGAGUGGCGAACGGGUGAGUAACACGUGAGUAACCUGCCCUUGACUUUGGGAUAACUUCAGGAAACUGGGGCUAAUACCGGAUAUGAGCUCCUGCUGCAUGGUGUGGGUUGGAAAGUUUCGGCGGUUGGGGAUGGACUCGCGGCUUAUCAGCUUGUUGGUGGGGUAGUGGCUUACCAAGGCUUUGACGGGUAGCCGGCCUGAGAGGGUGAACGGCCACAAUGGGACUGAGGUACGGACCAGAAUCCUACGGGAGGCAGCAGUGGGGAAUAUUGCACAAUGGGCGGAAGUGUGAUGCAGCAACGCCGCGUGCGGGAUGACGGCCUUCGGGUUGUAAACCGCUUUCGCAGGUGACGAAGAGUGAGUGACGGUAAUGGGUAAAGAAGCACCGGCUAACUACGUG